GUUCCCAUCGGAUCUGCUGGGAGUCAGGAGCGGUGUCAUUAAUAGGAUUUGUUCAACUGGUCAUUCACUGGGACAGUUGCUGGGUUACAAAUAACGGAGGAACGCCACAUGCCCCACCGCGUCCAGUCACGCUAAUGGGAAGCACCACAUCAUGCUCGCAGGGCUUAAAACUUCAUGAACGACUAAGAAACUAAGACUCGACAUGAAUCACUGAAGUUACGAAUCAUCUUCCAGCGUGUCCCACGAAUACAGCUCUAAAAAGCUCUGGAUGCAGAGAAGCGGGUUCCAGCCGCGCUGAGCCUACCCUGGUGCCCAAUUUGGAGUCUGUCUCUCAGUGACUCCAUUUGUGGGGACUGUGUCCCCUCCCGCCGUCCCCGUCCUCCCCCAUCGCUUCCUAGCCGUGGAAAGGAAGCCAAUAUAGUAUGUCCAUUAAAAUGCUGUCUGUGUCCUGCGGGUCACGUCUGUAGGUGUCGUGUGCUCAUCCUCAAUUAGGAGAGUUUACAUGUUCAUAAACAGAAUGCUCUGGUGAAAACUUCAACUAGGUUUAAAACAGGAGACAAUUCUCUACUUUUUCGUCUACAAGACAGGGUAACUAGUAAUCAAUCAGCUGGGGCGCCUUCAGGAAGUUUAGUCUUGAAGUGGCACACAAAAACCAUAACAAUGCAGUUUUCCGAGGAGUAUCCCAUUUAUUUAGAAAAACACACGAUCAGAACCAAUCUGGCAUAUUUUGAAAAAUGUAAUUCCUCCCUAAAGCACUCUUGGUUGCUGAAACUGCCUUCAAGAGUUUGUGAUAACUGGUAAUGACUCCUGGUGGAGAAAUAUUUUCUGGCUCUUCUUUGCAGAAUUAUUCCUUUUCAGACACAUUGGAUUUUUUUUUUUUUUUUAGAAUGGAUGGCAUAUUUAAGGUAUAUUUUAGGCCACUCCAAAACCUUUAUUUAAAUUUUCUGAGGCAGACAGAGGUAGACUUGCUGGUGUUCUUUGGAUAAUUGUCUUGCUAAACAAAAUCCAAGGAUGCUUGAGCUUAAGCUUACUAACUGAUAGCUGGACAUUCUUCUUCAGGGUUGUUGGAGCAGAAUUAAUGGCUCCAACAAUCACAGCAUGUUGUCCAGGUCCUGAAGCAGCAAAGCAACACGGACCACCACGCUACCAGAACCAUUUUUGAAUGUAGAUUUUAUAUUCUUUUUCCAAAAUGCUUUAAGUGUUACGGCAGAUGUAACGGGACACACCUUCCAAAAAAACGUCCACUCUGAUCUCGUCUGUCCUCAUAUUUUCCUUAAAGUCUUUGACUCUUUAAGAGGCUUUUUUUGGCAAAUGUGAGACAGCUUCGUGCUCUUUUUGUUCUGCGGACAUCCUUGUACAAUCCAACAUGAUAAUGAUCCAAAACACGAGGCUAAGUCAACCUGUACUUAGCUACACUGAAGUUUCUAGAGUGGCCACUCCUGACCCCAGUAUAAUUGAACCAUGGUAAAAUAUCAGCAAUUCUUUCAGGGAAUGUAAACUUAUGACCACAACUGUAUACAGAUAUAUACCAUGUAAAGUUCUAAAGAUCAACAUCAUCAAACAUUGCUUGGGAAUCAUCGGAGUCAAACGCUGGCUCAGGCGCAAAAGCUGAACCUCUCACAUCUGAAACAAAAGUCAUUUGGUAAAGUCUGUCGCAAGUUUUCAUAUACCGUAAUAUUUAUUAAUGUAAGCUGAUAAGGUGGAUUCUGGGGCGUCUUGCGAUGCCAUCGACCGAAAUACACACAAUGUAGAAUAAGCUUUGUACAAAAACUUUGUAUUCUGUAAAAUCCUAAAAUGGAAAUGCAUGUUUCAUUACCCAGCUGUUUUAAUUGACACUUUACAUUCAUUUGUUGAACAAUAAUAUGCCACUGGAUAGAAUCUUAAGCAGACACAAUGUAGUUUUUAAUGUCUCCCGAAAUAAUAAACAGAAAGAAGAGAGGCCUUAUGAACAAAUUAAAUGUAAAUGUUUUGAAGAUUUCCAUUUUAAUCUGUAAAAUCAUUCAAAUAGCUGUUUCAUUGCUAGAAGCUUUCGGUUGUACACAUGUCCCAACGUCUCUGCUCUGUGUUUUCUCUUUAGACUGUCAGGAACCAACUUUUUAUUUGCUUAGAAAAA